rnacentral:rRNA from 7 species
GUGGGUAGUUUGACUGGGGCGGUCUCCUCCUAAAGAGUAACGGAGGAGCACGAAGGUUGGCUAAUCCUGGUCGGACAUCAGGAGGUUAGUGCAAUGGCAUAAGCCAGCUUGACUGCGAGCGUGACGGCGCGAGCAGGUGCGAAAGCAGGUCAUAGUGAUCCGGUGGUUCUGAAUGGAAGGGCCAUCGCUCAACGGAUAAAAGGUACUCCGGGGAUAACAGGCUGAUACCGCCCAAGAGUUCAUAUCGACGGCGGUGUUUGGCACCUCGAUGUCGGCUCAUCACAUCCUGGGGCUGAAGUAGGUCCCAAGGGUAUGGCUGUUCGCCAUUUAAAGUGGUACGCGAGCUGGGUUUAGAACGUCGUGAGACAGUUCGGUCCCUAUCUGCCGUGGGCGCUGGAGAACUGAGGGGGGCUGCUCCUAGUACGAGAGGACCGGAGUGGACGCAUCACUGGUGUUCGGGUUGUCAUGCCAAUGGCACUGCCCGGUAGCUAAAUGCGGAAGAGAUAAGUGCUGAAAGCAUCUAAGCACGAAACUUGCCCCGAGAUGAGUUCUCCCUGAGACUUUAAGUCUCCUGAAGGAACGUUGAAGACGACGACGUUGAUAGGCCGGGUGUGUAAGCGCAGCGAUGCGUUGAGCUAACCGGUACUAAUGAACCGUGAGGCUUAACCUUACAACGCCGAAG